GACGAACGCUGGCGGCGUGCUUAACACAUGCAAGUCGAACGGUGAACCGGGCUUCGGCCCGGGGAUCAGUGGCGAACGGGUGCGUAACACGUGGGCAACCUGCCCCAGACACUGGGAUAACCCCGGGAAACCGGGGCUAAUACCGGAUACUCCGACCGGACCGCAUGAUCCGGCCGGGAAAGCUCCGACGGUCUGGGAUGGGCCCGCGGCCUAUCAGCUCGUUGGUGGGGUCACGGCCUACCAAGGCGACGACGGGUAGCUGGUCUGAGAGGACGACCAGCCAAACUGGAACUGGGAUACGGUCCAGACUCCUACGGGAGGCAGCAGUGGGGAAUCUUGCACAAUGGGCGCAAGCCUGAUGCAGCGACGCCGCGUGGGGGACGACGGCCCUCGGGUUGUAAACCCCUUUCGGCAGGGAAGAAGCGCAAGUGACGGUACCUGCAGAAGAAGUCCCGGCUAACUACGUGCCAGCCGCCGCAGUAAGAC
rnacentral:rRNA from 1 species